GGUCCUGUGGCCUAAUGGUAAGGCGUCAGAUUUCGGUUGUAGCAGGCCACCUCUGAAGAUUGCGAGUUCGAAUCUUGUCGGGAUCG